rnacentral:rRNA from 1 species
AUACGGAGGGUGCAAGCGUUAUCCGGAUUCACUGGGUUUAAAGGGUGCGUAGGUGGGCAGGUAAGUCAGUGGUGAAAUCUCUGGGCUUAACUCAGAAACUGCCAUUGAUACUAUCUGUCUUGAAUACCGUGGAGGUCAGCGGAAUAUGUCAUGUAGCGGUGAAAUGCUUAGAUAUGACAUAGAACACCAAUUGCGAAGGCAGCUGGCUACACGAAUAUUGACACUGAUGCACGAAAGCGUGGGGAUCAAACAG